GACGAACGCUGGCGGCGCGCCUAACAAAUGCAAGUCGAACGAGCGAGAGAGAGCUUGCUUUCUCGAGCGAGUGGCGAACGGGUGAGUAACGCGUGAGGAACCUGCCUCAAAGAGGGGGACAACAGUUGGAAACGACUGCUAAUACCGCAUAAGCCCACGGUGCCGCAUGGCACAGAGGGAAAAGGAGCAAUCCGCUUUGAGAUGGCCUCGCGUCCGAUUAGCUAGUUGGUGAGGUAAUGGCCCACCAAGGCGACGAUCGGUAGCCGGACUGAGAGGUUGAACGGCCACAUUGGGACUGAGACACGGCCCAGACUCCUACGGGAGGCAGCAGUGGGGAAUAUUGCACAAUGGGGGAAACCCUGAUGCAGCGACGCCGCGUGGAGGAAGAAGGUCUUCGGAUUGUAAACUCCUGUUGUUGGGGAAGAUAAUGACGGUACCCAACAAGGAAGUGACGGCUAACUACGUG
rnacentral:rRNA from 1 species